AGGGAGUUAGUCCAAGAAAGACCUCUGAUUUCGGCUCAGAAGAUUGUGGUUAAAGUCCACAACCCCCUU
rnacentral:tRNA from 1 species